GUGAGGAAUUUUCCGCAAUGGGCGAAAGCCUGACGGAGCAAUGCCGCGUGAAGGAUGAAGGCCUAUGGGUUGUAAACUUCUUUUCUCAGAAAAGAAUUAUGACGGUAUCUGAGGAAUAAGCAUCGGCUAACUCUGUGCCAGCAGCCGCGGUAAGACAGAGGAUGCAAGCGUUAUCCGGAAUGAUUGGGCGUAAAGCGUCUGUAGGUUGUUUAAAAAGUAUUCUGUCAAAGAUUAGGGCUUAAACCUAGAUAGGCAGAAUAAACUUUUAAGCUAGAGUUUGGUAGAGGCAGAGGGAAUUCCCGGUGGAGCGGUGAAAUGCGUAGAUAUCGGGAGGAACACCAAAGGCGAAGGCACUCUGCUGGGCCAAUACUAACACUGAGAGACGAAAGCGAGGGGAGCAAAUGGGAUUAGAAACCCGGGUAGUCC
rnacentral:rRNA from 1 species